rnacentral:rRNA from 1 species
UUCGUAGGCGGUGUGGCAAGUCGGGAGUGAAAUCUCUGGGCUCAACCCAGAGACUGCUUCCGAAACUGCUGUGCUUGAGUGUGAGAGAGGCUCGUGGAAUUGCAGGUGUAGCGGUGAAAUGCGUAGAUAUCUGCAGGAACACCCGUGGCGAAAGCGGCGAGCUGGAUCACUACUGACGCUGAGAACGAAAGCUAGGGAGCAAACA